rnacentral:sRNA from 1 species
AUAUAAACCCGAUUGGCCUUGCAAUACUUUUUGUUGCUGUCAUCUUGAGCUUGUCGAAAGAUUGUUUCUGGUUAGUAGGUGCUUCGACAAGCUCAGCAUGACAAUGUUAAUUGCUGUACCAACAAAAAGAUUGCAACAAAAAGCGGGGCUACCA